AUGGAGUCACAGACUCAGGUCCUCAUAUCCCUGAUGCUUUGGGUGUAUGGUACCUGUGCAGACAUCGUGAUGACCCAGUCUCCAUCCUCCCUGGUUGUGUCAGCAGGAGAGAAGGUCACCAUUAGCUGCAAAUCCAGUCAGAGCCUUACUUCAGGCAGCUCAAACUACUUGUCUUGGUACCAGCAGAAACCAGGGCAGUCCCCUAAGCUGCUGAUCUACUGGGCAUCCACUAGGCACACUGGGGUCCCUGAUCGCUUCAAAGGCAGUGGAUCUGGCACAGAUUUCACUCUCUCAAUCAGCAGUGUGCAGGCUGAAGACCUGGCAGUUUAUUACUGUAUGCAGUAUUACAAAACUCCCAUCUUUCUUAGUUUGAAGCUUGUCAGCAAGGAAAACUGGGCUGACCAAGCAGCUGGAUGUUUGCUGCUGUUAGAGCUACUUAACCAUCAAGGUCAUCUGAGAUCUAAGGAGGAUGAAUUUCAGUAG